AAGUGUCCAUCCACAGAUGAAUGGAUAAAGAAGAUGUGGCACAUGUAUACAGUGGAGUAUUACUCAGCCAUGGAGGGAAACGAAAUUGGGCUGUUUGUGGUGAGGUGGAUGGACCUGGAGUCUGUCGUGCAGGGUGAAGUGGGUCAGAG